UCUAAAUGUGGUAAGGUUGUCACUUGUCGGCUGUAGCUGUUAGCUUAUGUGCUUCGCAUGGCGGGGUGGCAGAAAUGUGAACUAGGUAUAAGAGUGGUCAAGUACUCCCGGAGGCAAAAGGUGCAACUACUGGUGGGAUGAUGCCUGGGGACACUUAUGAGAGUGGUGAUUACUUUUACAAUUUCAUCCUCACAUUACUUUUACAACUCCAGCACUCUUGAUCAGGGGAAACCAUACUUUGUGAUCAGGGGAUGUAGACUUCUAGUCGUCCAGCCAGGUCAAUUAACUGAGGAAAAGAAAUAAUUUAUGUUAAAGCUAGGGAUGUAAUGUCUAGUUGUCCAGCCAGAUCAACCAACUGAGGAAAAUAAAUAAUUUAUGUUAUAGCUAGGGAUGUAGACUUCUAGUCGUCCAGCCAGAUCAAUUAACUGAGGAAAAUAAAUAAUUUAUGUUAAAGCUAGGGAUGUAGACUUCUAGUGGUCCAGCCAGAUCAAUUAACUAAGGAAAAUAAAAAUAUUUAUAUUAAAGCUAGGGAUGCAGACUUCUAGUAAUCAAAAUAAAUCAUUUAUGUUAAACACUAAAAUUUGGCACACACGUGUGGGAACUCACAGCCAAAAGAAUUUAUUUGGAAACCAUUUGAUAAAUCAUAUGUCUAUAAAUUAUUCGAGCCCUGAAAAUAAUAUGCAUGAUUUAAUAUAUUUUUUAAUUCUAAUAUUUCUCUGUUCUGCAUUUAUGAUUUGUAUAUUUGGUCUCUAACGGACCCGCACUGAGCGUCGUCCAGUUAGAAAAUAUUAUAGAAAAAAAUAUAUUUAAUGUUAAAUUAGGUUAGAAAGAAGUGACUUGGCCUUAUAGGAAAUAUAUUCGUAAACACACGUAUACGAAAAUAAUAUGUAUAUAAGAAUUUUCCAUUCAAAAAGCGACUGGUUGUCCGAUUAAAUAACUGCCUAACCUAAAUAAAUAUUUAAGUAAAUGAA